rnacentral:rRNA from 1 species
GAUGAACGCUGGCGGCGUGCCUAAUACAUGCAAGUCGAGCGAACAGACGAGGAGCUUGCUCCUUCGACGUUAGCGGCGGACGGGUGAGUAACACGUAGGUAACCUACCUAUAAGCCUGGGAUAACUUCGGGAAACCGGAGCUAAUACCGGCUAAUAUUUCGCACCGCAUGAUUCGAUCAUGAAAGAAGGCUUUGCUAUCACUUAUAGAUGGACCUGCGCCGUAUUAUCUAGUUGGUAAGGUAACGGCUUACCAACGCAACGAUACGUAGCCGACCUGAGAUGGUGAUCAGGCACACUGGAAUGGAGACGCGGUCCAGACCCCUACGGUAGGCAACAGUAGGGAGUCUACCGCAAUGGGCGGAAGCCGGACGUGGCAACGCCGCGUGAGGGAUGAAGGUCUUCGGAUAUUAGAACUCUGUUAUUAGGAAAGAACAAUCGUGUAAGUAACUGUGCACGUCUUGACGGUACCUUAUCAGAAAGCCACGGCUAACUACGUG